AGUGAACGCUGGCGGUAGGCCUAACACAUGCAAGUCGAACGGCAGCACAGUAAGAGCUUGCUCUUACGGGUGGCGAGUGGCGGACGGGUGAGGAAUACAUCGGAAUCUACUUUUUCGUGGGGGAUAACGUAGGGAAACUUACGCUAAUACCGCAUACGACCUACGGGUGAAGGCAGGGGAUCUUCGGACCUUGCGCGAUUGAAUGAGCCGAUGUCGGAUUAGCUAGUUGGCGGGGUAAAGGCCCACCAAGGCGACGAUCCGUAGCUGGUCUGAGAGGAUGAUCAGCCACACUGGAACUGAGACACGGUCCAGACUCCUACGGGAGGCAGCAGUGGGGAAUAUUGGACAAUGGGCGCAAGCCUGAUCCAGCCAUACCGCGUGGGUGAAGAAGGCCUUCGGGUUGUAAAGCCCUUUUGUUGGGAAAGAAGAGCAGCAGGUUAAUACCCCGCUGUUCUGACGGUACCCAAAGAAUAAGCACCGGCUAACUUCGUG
rnacentral:rRNA from 1 species